rnacentral:rRNA from 1 species
GACGAACGCUGGCGGCGUGCCUAAUACAUGCAAGUCGUGCGGACCUUUUAAAAGCUUGCUUUUAAAAGGUUAGCGGCGGACGGGUGAGUAACACGUGGGCAACCUGCCUGUAAGACUGGGAUAACGCCGGGAAACCGGGGCUAAUACCAGAUCGUUUUUUCCUCCGCAUGGAGGAAAAAGGAAAGGCGGCUUCGGGUGCCACUUACAGAUGGGCCCGCGGCGCAUUAGCUAGUUGGCGGGGUAACGGCCCACCAAGGCAACGAUGCGUAGCCGACCUGAGAGGGUGAUCGGCCACAUUGGGACUGAGACACGGCCCAAACUCCUACGGGAGGCAGCAGUAGGGAAUCUUCCGCAAUAGACGAAAGUCUGACGGAGCAACGCCGCGUGAGUGAAGAAGGCCUUCGGGUCGUAAAACUCUGUUGCCGGGGAAGAACAAGUGCCGUUCGAACAGGGCGGCGCCUUGACGGUACCCGGCCAGAAAGCCACGGCUAACUACGUG